AAAAAAGGUAAGCUACUAAGAGCGAAUGGUGGAUGCCUUGACUGGUAAAGGCGAUGAAGGACGUACUAGACUGCGAUAAGCUACGGGGAGCUGUCAAGAAGCUUUGAUCCGUAGAUUUCCGAAUGGGGCAACCCAAUGUAUAGAGAUAUACAUUACCUAUAUAGGAGCGAACGAGGGGAAUUGAAACAUCUUAGUACCCUCAGGAAAAGAAAUCAAUAGAGAUUGCGUCAGUAGCGGCGAGCGAAAGCGCAAGAGGGCAAACCCAGUGCUUGCACUGGGGGUUGUAGGACUGCAAUGUGCAAGAGGUGAGUUUAGCAGAACAUUCUGGAAAGUAUAGCCAUAGAGGGUGAUAGUCCCGUAUGCGAAAAACAAACCUUAGCUAGCAGUAUCCUGAGUAGGGCGGGACACGAGAAAUCCUGUCUGAAGCUGGGUCGACCACGAUCCAACCCUAAAUACUAAUACCAGAUCGAUAGUGCACAAGUACCGUGAGGGAAAGGUGAAAAGAACUGAGGUGAUCAGAGUGAAAUAGAACCUGAAACCAUUUGCUUACAAUCAUUCAGAGCCCUAUGUAGCAAUACAGGGUGAUGGACUGCCUUUUGCAUAAUGAGCCUGCGAGUUGUGGUGUCUGGCAAGGUUAAGCAAACGCGAAGCCGUAGCGAAAGCGAGUCUGAAUAGGGCGCUUAGUCAGAUGCUGCAGACCCGAAACGAAGUGAUCUAUCCAUGAGCAAGUUGAAGCUAGUGUAAGAACUAGUGGAGGACUGAACCCAUAGGCGUUGAAAAGCCCCGGGAUGACUUGUGGAUAGGGGUGAAAGGCCAAUCAAACUUCGUGAUAGCUGGUUCUCUCCGAAAUAUAUUUAGGUAUAGCGUUGUGUCGUAAUAUAAGGGGGUAGAGCACUGAAUGGGCUAGGGCAUACACCAAUGUACCAAACCCUAUCAAACUCCGAAUACCUUAUAUGUAAUCACAGCAGUCAGGCGGCGAGUGAUAAAAUCCGUCGUCAAGAGGGAAACAACCCAGACUACCAGCUAAGGUCCCUAAAUCUUACUUAAGUGGAAAACGAUGUGAAGUUACUUAAACAACCAGGAGGUUGGCUUAGAAGCAGCCAUCCUUUAAAGAAAGCGUAAUAGCUCACUGGUCUAGUGAUUUUGCGCGGAAAAUAUAACGGGGCUAAAGUAAGUACCGAAGCUGUAGACUUGCGCACAACUUAGAUUAUUUAAGUUUAGAAUAUGAGAAACUAAGUUAUAUGUUUAGUUAUAUUUUUACUGAUUUUUAUAGAGUAAAGAUAGAAAUAAAACUUAGUAAAAUCAGUAAAAAUAUUCUUAGAUUAAAGUUAAGUAGUUUAAGUUGUGUGCAAGUGGUAGGAGAGCGUUCUAUUUGCGUCGAAGGUAUACCGGUAAGGAGUGCUGGAGCGAAUAGAAGUGAGCAUGCAGGCAUGAGUAGCGAUAAUUAAUGUGAGAAUCAUUAACGCCGUAAACCCAAGGUUUCCUACGCGAUGCUCGUCAUCGUAGGGUUAGUCGGGUCCUAAGUCGAGUCCGAAAGGGGUAGACGAUGGCAAAUUGGUUAAUAUUCCAAUACCAACAUUAGUGUGCGAUGGAAGGACGCUUAGGGCUAAGGGGGCUAGCGGAUGGAAGUGCUAGUCUAAGGUCGUAGGAGGUUA
rnacentral:rRNA from 1 species